CCUGCACCUGCCGGCGACCGGCGCACGGGUGAGUAACACGUAUGGAACCUGCCCGCCACAGGGGGAUAACCCGGGGAAACCCGGCCUAAUACCCCAUGCCGCCCGGACCGGGCAUCUGGUCCGGGCGAAAGGAGGAAUCCGGUGGCGGCUGGGCAUGCGGCGCAUUAGGCAGUAGGCGGGGUAACGGCCCACCUAACCGACGAUGCGUAGGGGUUCUGAGAGGAAGGUCCCCCACACUGGUACUGAGACACGGACCAGACUCCUACGGAAGGCAGCAG
rnacentral:rRNA from 1 species